rnacentral:sRNA from 1 species
GCUGAGUAGCUGAGCUCUCCCGGCUCUUUGGUUACUGACGUUAUAUUCCCAGGAAGCAAGGGCUCAGAGUCUUAGCUUGCCUGUCCAAUUCAAGAAUGAUCCUGUGUUCACUGUGGAAAAAUUGGUACCUUCAACAAAAGAAUGUUCCUUUACUGGUAUUGAGCUCCAGGAAGUUGAGCCUCCAAGUUCUAGAAAGGGGAAAUGGGGACGUAGGAUCUCCAGAACAGAUGUGCAAACUACUCCAGGAGCUUGGCUCUGAGAGACAGGUGGAUCACAGGAGCUCCCUGAACAGCCAUACUCACUGGACAGGACAGAAGCCUUGCCACAAAAAUGGAGGUAAAGAACUGCUAAAGAAGGUACUCUGCUUUGACCUCUGACCUCCACAUGUACAUAUACGUAGCACAAACCCAAUGUUCACAUUGUGUCUAUAGUUAUGAAUAUUCUCUGUAAACUUGAAAAAAAUCUGUACUAUGAUGCUAUCAGAUGAAGAAUUCUGUAGCUGCCAGUUAGACCAAGAUCAAUAGUUCAGGUCAUUUCUAUUCUUACUGAUGUUUCUGUCUUCAUGCUCUAUCAAUAACAAAAAGAGUAUUGGCAUGACCACUUACAAUAGUUUCACCUACUUUACCCUAUAGUUCUAUCAUUUUUUCAUCUAUUUUAAAUAGUGCUACUAGUUGCAAACACAAGUAUAUUUCUUCGAGUAUGUAGAUGUUGCAAUGGAUGUGGGUUCAAAAUGCUGUGGAAAUCUGGGCCGCAGAAUGGGGCCUUUAAGCCGAAACCUGAAAGCCUUAAAGCUCACAUGAUGAAAUUUCCAGUUGGAUAAAAUGGAAUAGCAAGCGGAGAAGAUACAGUAUCACAGAUGAAAGCAGUUCUACUAAAGUGUGUGUGUGCUUCUGGGAAAUAGUGGGCAAGAAGUCUGGUAUGUUAACAGGCUUAUUGAGAGAAGUGUGAAGGCUAAGGUUUUGAAAAUGAAUAAUGAGUAUAGGUUAUUAGAAUUGGAAGCCUGCAGGUUAAUACCAAUAAGAACAUUGGGAAUUUCUUCAAUCAGGAUUAAUUUUUGAAGGGAGUCACUCAAUAAUACAUUAUUGAACACUUGCUCUAGGCAAGGCCCACUGAAGGACAAAGAGAGGAGUACGGUUCAUCAUUCCCCCAUUAGACUGUUUGCCAAGGAGCUAAGGUGUGCCAGGCACAAGCAUGUUGAAGCCACCAUUCCUCUGUGCAUGCUUUCAUUCAAUCACAUGAAUCUUUAGUCAACUCUGGCACACAACACAUAAAAAUGAAUGAAUUUCAAACCAUGUUAUAACAUAGGAGGUCCUUGAAAAGUAUUUUGUUUAGUUUUAAAAGUCAUGCACGGUAAGCAAAUGUUAUAAGGAUAUUACAUUUAACACUCAGUCAAAUUCACAGUGACAGAAAGUAAAGAAAAAGCUAUUGAGGGUGCAUAAAAGUGGAACUAGCAUGUUAUUCACUUACUUUAUUGGACACAGUAUAAUUAUUAAGGAGAACUUAAUAAAUUUGGGAUAUAGAUAGCUGUAAUCUAUCGAGGGUGCAUAAGAGUGGAACUAGCAUGUUAUUCACUUAUUUUAUUGGACACAUUUUAAUUAUUAAGGAGAACUUAAUAAAUUUGGGAUAUAGAUAGCUGUAA